CGCAGCGAAAUGCGAUACUUGGUGUGAAUUGCAGAAUCCCGUGAACCAUCGAGUCUUUGAACGCAAGUUGCGCCCGAAGCCAUUAGGCUGAGGGCACGCCUGCCUGGGUGUCGCCCAUCGUUGCCCCAGUGCCUUGGCCUCGUGCUAGGCACCGAGCUGGGCGAAUGGUGGCUUCCCGCGAGCAACGCCUCACGGUUGGUUGAAAACUGAGUCCGUGGUGGGUGGCGCCGUGACGGAUGGUGGUUGAG
rnacentral:rRNA from 1 species